rnacentral:tRNA from 1 species
GGUUAUGGUAGCUCAUUCGGGUAAGCGCCCGCUUCUCACGCAAGAGAUGCGGGUUCAAAUCCCGCCAUUCACAAACCA